GAUGAACGCCGGCGGCGUGCUUAACACAUGCAAGUCGAACGAAGCUGUUGUUUGGAGACCUUCGGGUGGAAGGAUGACAGACUGAGUGGCGGACGGGUGAGUAACGCGUGGGUAACCUACCUUGCACAGGGGGACAACAGUUGGAAACGACUGCUAAUACCGCAUAAGACCACAGUACCGCAUGGUACGGGGGUAAAAACUGGGGUGGUGCAAGAUGGACCCGCGUCUGAUUAGCUAGUUGGUGGGGUAAAGGCCUACCAAGGCGACGAUCAGUAGCCGACCUGAGAGGGUGAUCGGCCACAUUGGGACUGAGACACGGCCCAAACUCCUACGGGAGGCAGCAGUGGGGAAUAUUGGACAAUGGGGGGAACCCUGAUCCAGCGACGCCGCGUGAGUGAAGAAGUAUUUCGGUAUGUAAAGCUCUAUCAGCAGGGAAGAAAAUGACGGACCUGA
rnacentral:rRNA from 1 species